ensembl:lncRNA
UGACUAAGGGUAAAUAGCAUUCAAAUAGAUGGUGAAGGAGCAGGUGGUGGGAAGAGACCAUUUCAAGUGGGCAAAACAAGGCCCACCUAGGUUUCUAAAUUCUGAUAUAAUUAACUCCCCGUUACCUCAGGGCUUGCCCCUAACGGUGGUAAUGGAGCACAGGGGAAGUUCUUAAAUGAUGGCAACUGCUGGCCCAGCCUAAUAGCCUACACAUGAGAGAGAUUACAACUGCCAGUCUCACCAGUUCACAGGUGAGGACAUGGAAGAAUGAGUGGGAAGGAGGAGUCAAGGCCUUGGUGAUUUCCACCUCCACGUGGUCUGGACCACAUUCUUCCCUAGAAGUGUUGCUUCCCUCUGCAUAUCACAGUCUGCCGUAACUGGAGAAAAGGAGAACACAGCAGAUCAGGUUAAUCACCUGGAAGACUGGGAAAUCCAAAUUCACUCCAGCCCACGCAAGCUAGGUAACUGCACCAGUCAGACCUGUUGGGGAUCCAGGGACCAGCCUGCACAUCGAUGUGUGGCAACCAGAGAGUUUUGUUUCUCUUUAGUGAUUAUCUAUGUGACCAUCAAGUGGAGAAAGAUAUCACUGGUGUCAGCUAAGAAGUGGAGAGCUAAUGCAUUAAGCUUCAUUCUGCAGCCAGUUGAGGGGGACGGCAAGCCCAAGGAAUAAAGAAUGCAGUGGGGGCGCUAAAGAAGAAGCGGAAGUCUGCUAAGUCAUUGGCACUUGCUUCAGAGAAAGAGAGCUCGAGAUGCCAGACUGGGCCCUAGAGGGAGAAGGGCCUGUGUUUGAUUUUUGGAUGACAAGUGUGACCAAGACUAGCUGUAUAACUUCCAGGACCCAGAGCAAUAUCAAUGCAGGGCCCCCUUUUUAAAAAUUAAGCAUUUCAAGACAGCAACAACAAAGCAUGAAACCAAGCAUGGGACCCUGCAGGGUGUGGGGCCCUGUGUGACUCAGCAAGUCGCACACCCACAAAGACUGUCCUGAGGGUGGCUAAGGUGACCCUCACAUGUGCUCUCACUGUGGCACGUCCCCUGCUGUGCCACGGCAUGCACUGUGGCACUUCACGUACUGUGUUUUGAUAGCAGCAGUUCUCGUCUGUAAGCUUGAUGAGGAGGAACCAGCAAGGAUGUGCCAGUAAGGAAGCUAGCACUAGAGUGUAGAGAGGGAGGGAGUCUGACGGAGGUCGCUCGGCCUCACCACCACGCGCUCUCCUCUCCUGCAGCUCCAGCCGUGAGUUGGGACAAGCGACGGAGGUUCUCCUAUGUACAGGAAGUCUUGUUUAAACUCCCAGGACUUUAGUUUCCUUCAGAUUCCAGCAAAUAUUUUAAUCAUAAGUUCUAAUAAAAGGAUACUGACUCUAAGGCUGGGGGGAAGAUGAAAUGAAAUCACAAGAAAUCAAAAAUGUAUCUUUGUCUUUUGAAAGCAGAAAGGUAAAAUUGGAGUGGGAGAAAUAAAUAAAAACAGGGUUCACAAAUAGGAUUUGAUUUUUAAACAGAACGUUUCUUAAUAUCUUCCAAGCAGAUGUCUUCCAGGGAAACAAGCUGUUGUUGAAGGAUGGGGUGUUAGUAUUGUCAGAUCGAUUGCUUAGCAAGACUUAACCUGAGAAAUUUCAUUUUCAUGAUGAUUAGUGAACAACAUGCUCUGUUCUUCUGGCUUCAUUAAUCCAGUAGAGUGUAGUCUGAAGAGAAGUUUUCUUCUAGAAAUUUUGUUUUAUCUACAUUAAAGAGAAGAGAAUAUUAAAGAUCUGUAUUUUUACAAUUUUUACACAGAUUGGUUUAACAAAGAGAAUAUCACAUGCAAGGAUUCUUUAGUU